rnacentral:rRNA from 1 species
UGCAAGUCGAACGAUGAAGCCCUUCGGGGUGGAUUAGUGGCGAACGGGUGAGUAACACGUGGGCAAUCUGCCCUUCACUCUGGGACAAGCCCUGGAAACGGGGUCUAAUACCGGAUAACACUUCCGUCCUCCUGGACGGUGGUUAAAAGCUCCGGCGGUGAAGGAUGAGCCCGCGGCCUAUCAGCUUGUUGGUGAGGUAAUGGCUCACCAAGGCGACGACGGGUAGCCGGCCUGAGAGGGCGACCGGCCACACUGGGACUGAGACACGGCCCAGACUCCUACGGGAGGCAGCAGUGGGGAAUAUUGCACAAUGGGCGAAAGCCUGAUGCAGCGACGCCGCGUGAGGGAUGACGGCCUUCGGGUUGUAAACCUCUUUCAGCAGGGAAGAAGCGAAAGUGACGGUACCUGCAGAAGAAGCGCCGGCUAACUACGUGCCAGCAGCCGCGGUAAUACGUAGGGCGCAAGCGUUGUCCGGAAUUAUUGGGCGUAAAGAGCUCGUAGGCGGCUUGUCACGUCGGUUGUGAAAGCCCGGGGCUUAACCCCGGGUCUGCAGUCGAUACGGGCAGGCUAGAGUGUGGUAGGGGAGAUCGGAAUUCCUGGUGUAGCGGUGAAAUGCGCAGAUAUCAGGAGGAACACCGGUGGCGAAGGCGGAUCUCUGGGCCAUUACUGACGCUGAGGAGCGAAAGCG